rnacentral:rRNA from 1 species
GGCUCAUUAAAUCAGUUAUCGUUUAUUUGAUAGUACCUUACUACUUGGAUAACCGUGGUAAUUCUAGAGCUAAUACAUGCUGAAAACCCCGACUUCGGAAGGGGUGUAUUUAUUAGAUAAAAAACCAAUGCCCUUCGGGGCUCCUUGGUGAUUCAUAAUAACUUCUCAGAUCGCAUGGCCUUGCGCCGGCGACGGUUCAUUCAAAUUUCUGCCCUAUCAACUUUCGAUGGUAAGGUAUUGGCUUACCAUGGUUUCAACGGGUAACGGGGAAUUAGGGUUCGAUUCCGGAGAGGGAGCCUGAGAAACGGCUACCACAUCCAAGGAAGGCAGCAGGCGCGCAAAUUACCCAAUCCCGACACGGGGAGGUAGUGACAAUAAAUACUGAUACAGGGCUCUUUUGGGUCUUGUAAUUGGAAUGAGUACAAUUUAAACCUCUUAACGAGGAACAAUUGGAGGGCAAGUCUGGUGCCAGCAGCCGCGGUAAUUCCAGCUCCAAUAGCGUAUAUUAAAGUUGUUGCAGUUAAAAAGCUCGUAGUUGAACCUUUGGCCUGGCUGGCAGGUCCGCCUCACCGCGUGCACUUGUCCGGCCGGGCCUUCUCUUCUGGAGAACCGCAUGCCCUUCACUGGGUGUGUUGGGGACCAGGACUUUUACUUUGAAAAAAUUAGAGUGUUCAAAGCAGGCCUUUGCUCGAAUACGUUAGCAUGGAAUAAUAGAAUAGGACGUGCGGUCCUAUUUUGUUGGUUUCUAGGACCGCCGUAAUGAUUAAUAGGGACAGUCGGGGGCAUCAGUAUUCAAUUGUCAGAGGUGAAAUUCUUGGAUUUAUUGAAGACUAACUACUGCGAAAGCAUUUGCCAAGGAUGUUUUCAUUAAUCAGUGAACGAAAGUUAGGGGAUCGAAGACGAUCAGAUACCGUCGUAGUCUUAACCAUAAACUAUGCCGACUAGGGAUCGGGCGGUGUUAUUAUUUUGACUCGCUCGG